CGUUUGCUCGUGGAAACGGGAAGGGCGUUCGGACCGGGAGAGGGGCAGGUUUAGAAACCGGAGGUGGAGCCUGAGUAACUCCAGUCAUACAUCAUGUGCAGUGCAGGGUGGUCGUACCUUGGAGGUGGUUUACGUCUGUUACACCUCAGUAACCUUUGGGAUGAAGAGACAAAACUGUGGGUCAUCCAAACCCAGCGACUGCCACUUACCAGUGGCAUUGCAGAGAAGAGAAACAGGACGAGGAGAAACAAGAAAAACAUUUUAGGUCUAGGCAGGCUGGAAAACAAUGGCAGUUCCUGACCACCUGAAACCUAAUGGUGCCUCAAGUCACAGGAAUCAGUAAACAUUUUCCUGACAUGACAUC